UUUAAAAUCUUACCAAGACGAUCAGGUUUUGCAUAUGUGCGCUUGCAUAUGUGUUUGACUCAUCCGCAAACGUGUUUAUUAUUAGAAUAAGAAAAAUGACAAGAAAAGCCUAAGGUGUUUUAAAAAAUUCCGGAUUCUUUAGAUAGAAGAUAUAUAUAAAAGCUUGCAUAGAAUGUUAAGUCAGUGCAAUAAGAAAUCUCCGAGCUGUAGCUAGAAAAAUAAUAUAUCUUCUUUCGACAUGAAAUCAUUAACAAUAACAUUGUGCCUUCUGAUAAAAGCAACAGUGAUAAUAGCAAAAACAGUAAGAUUACCUCCUGUUGUAAAUCAGCUCAAGUUCUAUGCAAAAACCUAUAAACCUAUCAUGGUAUAUACUACGCCAAUACCAUGGCAUUACACCCCAAGGCCAAACAAAUUUCUUUACAAUUACAACUAUAACACUGAUACUGGCAUCCAAGCUCAAGAACACGGUCAUCUUAAUAAUGUAGGCACUAAUCAAGAGGCCAUGGAAGCGCGAGGUAGCUACACUGACAAUGAGGGCAAUACUUUCCAAGUUUCGUAUAUAGCUAAUGAGAAUGGAUUUCAACCAGAGGGUGCUCACUUGUCCAUAGUACCACCAUUAAUUAGAAAGGCUCUUCAAUAUAUCGCCGAACAUCCCGAAGAGAGUGAAAAUGAAUAAGAACGCUGGACAUAACAGAAAAAUGGCAAAAUCAGAAAAUCAUAAAGUCGAGCCUUGACAAGAUGAUAGAUUGAAAAACGCCUAGCGCGGACUUAAUCGCAGUCGGACUUUCGCAAGCAAUAUUGAAACACGGCUAUUUGCGUCGUAAUUAUUUUUUUAUUUGUAUAUUAUUAUCUUGUUAAAUCUAAAUAAAUCUUGCCAAGGAGAUUAGGUUUUUCAUGCAUUCGGCUUAUUGGCAAAUUUAAAUAUGAAAUAUGAAAAAUGACAAGCAGAUAGAAAAGGGUAAUUACUUUGUCCGUUUUGAAAGCGAUAGUGAUAAUAGUUCAGAAAAACGAUGAAGUGAGCAGCUGCCAAAUCCUGGAUAAACAUGGUAAAGAUUAUUUUUGCAGUUACUAUUGCUACUACAAUGACACCGGCGUUCAAGUUCAGAAAUACGGUAAUCCCAUUAGUGUGAGCACUGAAAAUAUUCAGAAAACGCAAAAUAAAAAUUACAACAUCAAAAAGAUUGGCAAAACUACGAAAAGUACGUCGUUACUACGGUAUUUCCCAAUCAUAACUUCAAAACCUUCUGCAACUUCUCGAGGGUUUAAUAAAUAAGGGGGUGAGACCACCGCCAUCAUCCACGUCAUCUACGUCAUUCAGGCCAUCCAUAUCCUCCACGGUACUUCAAAAUUAUUGUCUCAAUCACACAGAU